UUUUUUUUUUUUUUUCGCUUGAGGAAGAUUUGCCCUGAGCUAACAUCUGUGCCAAUCUUCCUCUAUUUUGUAUGUGGGUCUCUGCCACAGCAUGGCCACCAACAUGUGGUAUAGGUCCGCACCUGGGAACUGAACCCUGGCUGCCAAUGUCAAGCACACUGAACUUAAUCACUAGGCCACAUGCCUGGCUCCACCUAAUUAUUCUUUAGUUUUAUUUUCCCAGACUAACUUUAGUACCACUUAGUAAAGGCAGAUAAAAGAAGAGGAGAUAGAGGAAGCAGAAAUAGCUUAGGCCUCAUCAGGUCCUACUCAGUUUGGCUCCUGCAAGGAAAAACAAUCCAAGGAGGGAGGGGUCAACAGUGUCAAAUGCCUGAGAAAGAUUAAGAUGAAGACUGAAAAGUGUCCUCUGAAUUUAGCCAAUACUAUUAGAAAUCAUUUAUACCCUUAAGGCAGAUGGGCUGAGUGAGGAUGUGGGUAGGAAUUUAUUUUUAAAUAAAACAUUUUAUUAAUAAAAAUUGUAUUUUAUCAGUUAGGUUUCUGUUGCACAUGCAGACAAUCCAAAUAAGUGGCUUAAAGAAGACAAUGACUUCAGUCUCUCUCACAUACAUGAAGUUUGGAUGCACUCUGCAGUGAAUAAGAACCCAGGAUUCUUUACUUUUCAGUACACCAUCUUAGUGCUGGCUUCCAUCUUUAAGAUUCCCUCAUGCUCUAGGACAGCUGCUUGAGCUCCUAUCAUCAUGUUCACAUUCCAGCCUGGAAAAAGCGGAAAGGGGGAAGGUUAAAAAGGUGCACUUCCCAGCUGAGGAGGCUUCCUUUAAGAAGCUUUCUCAGAAUUCCCCCUCAAAAGCUACCAUGUAGAUAUCACUGGACACCCACAAUCUCAGGACCAUGUUGAAGUGUGAAAGAAGUGCUGGUUGAGUUGAGUGUUCAUGGUCACAUCCAUUACCAGCCAGACAAGGUUUCAUAUUGUAGCAUUGUCUUCAUGAAUUUACCAGAGUUUUGGCAGCAAAGGGGCCUGGGAAGUAUCUUUUAGUUGGGCAGAUUGCUACCUGGAAUAAAAUUUUAAGGAAGGGGUGGAAAUUGGCUAUAAAAUAGUCAACAACAGUCCCUUCCACAUUGUGCUAAGAUUGAAAAGUUAUUAUUAAAAUAAGUAGCUGUACCAGAAGUCCUGAACUGGAGGUCAGGAAGCCAAUUUCAUCUUGCAGAGAAGAUGUUACAAUUUUUGGUUAGUUUCCAGCACUUAAAAGUCAAUAAAUUUCACAUAAAACUCCAGAUUUCUGCCUUCUCUUUUGUUUGUGUGUGCUCAUGGUGGCUUUAUUUUUUUAUUGCAAUAACAUUGGUUUAUAACAGUACAUAAAAUUCAGGUGUACGUCAUUAUAUUUUGACUACUACCUCGUGUUUGCCACCAAAAGUCUAGCUGUCAUCUGUCACUAUAUAUGCCUUCUCAUGGAAAUCUAAAACUUAGGCAAUAUGCUGGGUCUACAUCUCAGUAGUCCUCUUCAGCUAGAGACAAGAAAUAGCUGCGUCUCAGGAAGGACCUCUGUCCUCCCAUUAGUCACUGUCUUCGUCUUUCCCUGUUGUGUCUCUGGUCUGGUCUACUCAUAAGUUACCUUCUUGUCUCCAACAGGCAUUUGUGUUUGCACCCCUGUCACUUUACAAAUGAAUAAAUAAUAACUGUUAUAAAGAAGUGCAUAAAAUGUGACAGUGGAAUCAUCAAGUUAAUUAUUAGUCUAAUAACUCAAAAAUUCAGGUAUUUAAGUACUUUCAAUAUGAUUAGAGCUAUGUGCAAGGUGUAAUGGAAAGCAUAGGAGGUCUGGAGAGGAGUCUAUCUUCAUGGAGUUACUUAAGUAUCUGAUCUCAGUUUCCUUAUUUCUAAGGUAUGUUGGACUAUAGGAGAGCACAAAUCACUUCCUAUUCUAUUUAUGCCCUUAUUUGGAACCUUGGUAGACAGGUUAAGGGUUCCAUACAAGGGAAAGUCUCCAGAAAAUAACCAAGUACCAGGAUUGGAGGAUCUAUGUGAACAUGGGAGGCUGACAGUGUAGGGGAGGAAGACAUUUCCUCUUCCCAAAUGUGGGUUCGUCUGACCGGAGAACGAAUUAAAUUCACAUGAAACAGAAUAGCAAGAGAAAAUUAAACAAAGCUUUAUGAGGAACCAUGGCCCAGGGCCUUUCUUCCCAAAGGAAGAAAGGGCACCGAAGAAGUGGGGUGCACAGAGUGGUUAUAUACCCCCAAACAGGAUAUUUCACAUGAUUGAAAUGUCCCUCCCACAAUAGUCACAAGAUUGCCCUGUUGGCACAGCACUUGAUGGACACAGCAGGCAGUGGGUCUGCUAUCUCGGUGGGCAUAGCAGGAGGCAAGUCUAUUGUCUGGAGCUGGGUGGUCACAGGUGAGCGCAGCAAUCAGUUCCUAGCCUAAGGAAAGAUGCUUAAUCCUUAAAGAAAUGCCAACGUUGGGAGGGGGAGGGAAGUCAGUUAUAGGAGGUUACCAGACAAGCACAAUAAAAUGCAGAUUUAAGUCCUUGCCUUUGGCAUUGAUUAAGAGUUUCUAGAGAGAAGGUCAUCUCCUUUCUUCUUCCUGGUACAGAGAGGGAGGCACCUUUUACAGAUAGAGAUUUACCUUACAAAUGUAAAUGUGUCCUAACAAAGGGCAAGUUCCAUUCCUCAGAUCCUCCUUCCCUGUCCCAGUGUAUCAAAAGCAAUCAACCUCAAAUAAUCCUGAUGCCAAAGAGACAUAUCUUGGGGUGGCCAAUUCCAGUCCCCCACAACGGGAAAGGCGAGAGAGCCAUGUGGCCUGUUUGUUUAGGUUAAGCUCUAAGGAAGGGGUACGAUUCAGGAGUGAGCCUUGUGGAGGAUUGUGGGGAGCACAGUCCGAGCCAGAGGCUGGGCUAGCAGCAUUCUGAGAUGACAGUGAACACGUCAGCCAGAAAUGCUCAGACUGGACCCCAUUCUCAAGGGUUUGGUCAAUGUCCUGGAGGCAAAAAGGAAGCUUUGAAGAUUUCUGAGUGAGAAGUGACAGAAUGAAAGAAGCAUUUGACAGAGGUUUUAAGGAUGAUUCUCUCCCUUAACAAGUUAUGUAAAUAGGUUAGAGGAGACUAGAAAUAGGCAAACUAGUGGAACUGCUCGCAUUCAUCCAGUUACUAAUUCAUUUAAUAAACAUUCGCAAACUGACAUUGUUUAAAUAAUUUAGAUCAAAUUGUAUUAAUGGAAAUUAAAAUGAACACAGGCAAGUUGAGAGAGAAAGCAAAGCAAGGCUGUCCAAAUUCAAUUAAAUCUAGAGGAUGAAGGGCAAUACUGAGAAAACAGCAAAGGAAACUAGGAAACACUGAGGUAGGGAUGAGGGAGCAAGGCAAAAGAUUUGCAAAUUUACUGGAUAAUAAAAAGA
ensembl:lncRNA